GGGUUGUGAGGUUAAGCGACUAAGCGUACACGGUGGAUGCCCUGGCAGUCAGAGGCGAUGAAGGACGUGCUAAUCUGCGAAAAGCGUCGGUAAGGUGAUAUGAACCGUUAUAACCGGCGAUGUCCGAAUGGGGAAACCCAGUGCAAUUCGUUGCACUAUCGUUAACUGAAUACAUAGGUUAACGAGGCGAACCGGGGGAACUGAAACAUCUAAGUACCCCGAGGAAAAGAAAUCAACCGAGAUUCCCCCAGUAGCGGCGAGCGAACGGGGAGCAGCCCAGAGUCUGAAUCAGCUUGUGUGUUAGUGGAACGGUCUGGAAAGUCCGACGGUACAGGGUGAUAGUCCCGUACACCAAAAUGCACAGGUUGUGAACUCGAAGAGUAGGGCGGGACACGUGGUAUCCUGUCUGAAUAUGGGGGGACCAUCCUCCAAGGCUAAAUACUCCUGACUGACCGAUAGUGAACCAGUACCGUGAGGGAAAGGCGAAAAGAAC
rnacentral:rRNA from 1 species